UCUUCAGAGUUAUGAGUCGCUUUGCCCCGCACGCCCGGACAUGGUUCUCACUCUUCAGUGAGAGAGAGAGAGAGAGAAGGCGAGAUUUAUGCUCGUCGCCACUAGCAAGACGUCAGAUGCUGGGGAUAUGGAGGAAGAGCCCACUUCUUCGUGCAAUUACAGAAGUGCCGCACACGGAGUGUUCGGGAGAAGCAGCAGCCAUCAAGCGUCGAUGAGUUGAAGUUGGGUUCUUCGCGUAUAUCCUAACCUUCGCCUCACAUUGAAUCUCUCGGAUGGUAACGAUGACUUUCGUCUUCUAGCUCGGUUUCUCUCCCUCCAGAUCUGUGCGAUUUUUGUGUGGAAGGAUCAGUUCCUGAGGCGCAGCUGCACAGAUUAUGGGGGUCCGAGAAAACUCGAAGACGCCUUAUUUUGCUUUGAUCAAUUGAUGGGCUUUCGCCCUUUUCCCUCCAUGGUUGGUGAUAUUGGGGACAUGGGGGUUAUGGUCGAUCUCUUCACUUUUGGAACUACGAUCAAGGGUUUGGUGAGGCCAGGCAACAUGAAGGAAAAAAAAGACACUUUGAGUUUUAGUUUCGAUGAAUAUCUAUGCGUCACUUUCAAGAAUUCCACAAGAAAUCUCUCAAGUGGAAGAGGAGAAGCUCGAAUGGGAGCAAAUGUUGGGCUGCACUGGGAGCACAUGCCGGCGAUCGGAUUUCUAUAGCAUAGCACAUCUUUGAUCCGAAGAUUUGCAGAGCCUAAUGUUGUCACGUAGAGCUAGCUAAUUGGUAGAUGGUUGUUGUCUUCAAGAUCAUGUUGGAUGAUGCCAUAAGUUAUUCCAUUUGAUAGUUGAAAGAGAUUGCCUUUCGAAACUUGUGGAUUACGGAUCGAUGGACACAGCAGAACAAACAGGAUGGAUGAGGCGGUUUAAAUGCUUGGGAAGGGUUUUUCCCCUAAAUUGUGACAUAGAGUACUCUUGUAGACGGCUUAUGUGACACAGGGAACAUUCAAGCUGCUAAGGAGCUUUUCCGUAAGAUACAAUGUAUUGCUCAAUAACAAAAUCGUCAAACUUAUGCCCUAUUGUUGGAUGGUCUAUGCAAGACUCAUAAUCUCGAUGAGGCUGUUACACUUUUUCGACGUAUGGAGGAUCAGAAGAUCAAUCUUGAUGCUAUGAUUUAUAAUGCUCUCUCACAUGAUGGCAUGUGCAAGCAUGUGAAAGGAUGGGAAAGCUGAACAUGCGGACACAGUGCAAAUGGGCAUGGUGCUGGACUCUUUGAGGUUAAGAAACUCGAGGAUGAGUUCUUUGUGGGGCUACUAACUUGACUGCCUCAGCUAUGCUGAAGCAGAGAUGCUCUUCUAUUGGAGGCAUAGAGAAGAUGUAGACACAGAACCAAUGCUUCUAGAUUAAAGAUUGAACGUUCCAUCCUACCAAUAAACAUUGGUUCCGGCAGGAGUUUUGCGGACUUCUGCUUUCCUGCAAUUUUGGCUCUGCUGGUCUUUUUCGCUCUAAUUCUUUUCUACUUUUCUUUGAAUGGUAAGCUCUGAGUUGUAUGUGUCUUUCAAGAUCGUACCAGAUACCUAUCGGGUUUCAUUUCUCUAUGGAGGUUUCCUGCAUGAAUUAGUUGAUUAUUACAGAGUUUGAAAUCCUAAAUCUACUGUUCUGGUUAUGGAAUGAAAUGGCAAUGCUGAAAGAAUAUGGUUGAUUACUGAUUGGAUUCUGGGGUUUCUGGGAAACUCUCCGUCCAUUGUAUGCCAAAGCUGUUUAUGCAUGAAUUCUUCGUAAUUGAGUUUAUUCGGAUUUAAUUUUACUGAAAGAUUCGUCCUACAGAGACACAGUGGGAUUAAAAACCAAACCCAAAAAUCCCCUUCUCGAAGCCUAGAAGGGCAGAAAGCGAAGGGAAAAAAA